AACGAACGCUGGCGGCAGGCUUAACACAUGCAAGUCGAACGCAUCCUUCGGGGUGAGUGGCAGACGGGUGAGUAACGCGUGGGAACGUGCCCUUCAGUUCGGGAUAACCCAGGGAAACUUGGGCUAAUACCGGAUACGUGCGAGAGCAGAAAGAUUUAUCGCUGAAGGAUCGGCCCGCGUCUGAUGUGCUAGUUGGUGGGGUAAUGGCCCACCAAGGCGACGAUCAGUAGCCGGUCUGAGAGGAUGAUCAGCCACAUUGGGACUGAGACACGGCCCAAACUCCUACGGGAGGCAGCAGUGGGGAAUAUUGGACGAUGGGCGCGAGCCUGAUCCAGCCAUGCCGCGUGAGUGAUGAAGGCCUUAGGGUUGUAAAGCUCUUUCGUCCGGGACGAUAAUGACGGUACCGGAAGAAGAAGCCCCGGCUAACUUCGUGCCAGCCGCCGCAGUAA
rnacentral:rRNA from 1 species